GGAAAAAUCGGGGAUUAAGGAUUGCCUCGUUGGAGCCGACUUCUCAUUGAAUGUGACCUCGUUGAAUGUGACACCCACUGUACUACUUGGGUCAAUGGUAUGAUGGUUAGGGUUUCCUCCAUUGCACACAAAAGACGUGAGUUUGAUUCCCAUGGGAGGAAGUCUAUUUGAUUAUGUAUCUCCACCUUUCUGUUCGGGUGCUGUAUCCCACUUAGCCUGGGUAGGUUCUGAUGCUCAGACUGCCUCCCUUAAUUAUGUGAAUGGCAAAUGCAAUAAUACAUAAAAAGUAAGUUCUGAGGACUUGUUUUGGGUAUAUUAUUAUAUUUUGUGUGUGUUUUUUCCAGUAGCCCUAUUGAUCCAUUACCAGAAUCGUCAACGUGCUGCAAUACACUGCACCUGCCAAUGUAUACUAAUGAAAAAAUUGCAGAGGAAAGACUGCGGUAUGCUGCAUACAACUGUGUGUCUAUUGACACUGAUGAAUGAAGACAUGGUGAUGUGAAUUAGAUCAGCUUGCCUGGAUGACUGUUUUGAGCUGAACAUGUCCAUUUUGUCAUUUUGUAAUGUUGCCACUUGCCUUUUUUUUACCCUUCGGCUUAAUGUUUAGCACUGAAGGUGUUCAUCGCUUGUGUUGCAUUGUCAGUUAGAGAUUGUCGAUGAUAUUGGAAGAGUAGCUCCCUCUUGAGUCCUGUUCACAACCUUUCUAUGAAAUAUGACUUUUUUUGUGAAGGAUGCUCACUUUUUAUUUGAUUACUCACUGUUUUUAUUUGAUAAAUGUGAAUUUAUUUGGUCCUUACUGACCUAAAUAAAUCCAAACUGGAAUUUGUCAAUUUACGUUUGGUACCUCUACUCAUCAAUGGAUUGAAUACCGGUACCCCUUUCACCUUAUUUUGUACCAUCUACUUUGCAUCACAAACUGUUAUCUUCAGUUCCUGACACAAGUAUAUAAAUGUGAUAAUGCCUUACUCCUAGUGUUAAAUCAGCGGAGCACCGCGGAACAGCGACUCUAUUUUUAAAAACAGGAAAAAAAUUUGUCCAGGGAACAGCGACUGCCCUAAGCGAAUAGCUUGUCAUGGUGGUAUUGAUCGAUAUAUCGAUACACCAGCGGCACGCCAAAAAGAUUUUUCCACAUUUAAAAACUAUGUCUAAUCGUAAAAAUAA